rnacentral:tRNA from 1 species
UCCCUGGAGGUCCAGUGGCUAAGACUCUGCACUCCCAAUGCAGAGGGCCUAAGUUUGAUCCUUGGUCAAAGAA